CCUACGGGCGGCAGCAGUGAGGAAUAUUGGUCAAUGGCCGCAGGGCUGAACCAGCCAAGUCGCGUGAGGGAUGACGGUCCUAUGGAUUGUAAACCUCUUUUGUCAGGGAGCAAAGGGCGCCACGUGUGGCGCUUUGCGAGUACCUGAAGAAAAAGCAUCGGCUAACUCCGUGCCAGCAGCCGCGGUAAUACGGAGGAUGCGAGCGUUAUCCGGAUUUAUUGGGUUUAAAGGGUGCGCAGGCGGCAUGUCAAGUCAGCGGUAAAAUUUCGGGGCUCAACCCCGUCGUGCCGUUGAAACUGGGGUUCUUGAGUGAGCCAGAAGCAUGCGGAAUGCGUGGUGUAGCGGUGAAAUGCAUAGAUAUCACGCAGAACUCCGAUUGCGAAGGCAGCAUACCGGCGCUCAACUGACGCUCAUGCACGAAAGCGUGGGUAUCGAACAGGAUUAGAUACCCCGGUAGUC
rnacentral:rRNA from 1 species